AGACUAGCCUGUUCAAAAUGGCCGACGCUUGCAAACGGAAAUGACAUAUAUUUAUGUAAAGUUCAAAAGUGGUCACACUGAUGUCUGGGGAAGAUUCAUCACCGCCACACAAGUACCAAUUGAGAUCAUGAAAUUACUGGUUAAAUGUCAUCAACGUUGGAGGUGGUAGUGUCAAAUCCAAGACUGCUGUCAUAUGCCAGUCCAAUAUUAACGUAAAUGAAUGAGGAUUUUCAAAAGCAUGCAAAUGCACUCCUGUAAUAACCUGAUGUGGGAUUGCAUCGUACUGCAAGGGCAACGGUAAGAGAAGCAGUGAGCGGGUAUCCACGAGAACUAUGCUGCUGGUGGGUCAAACUUCCACACCGUCCAUCCAAAUUCAGAAAGACGGCGCCGCCAGCGAAAGUUAAUGCAGAAUUGAUACAGCAGCCCGCUGUCAAAGAAGUGGUGCUUCAGAGAGACUGCAAAGUGAAAUGAAGAGUGGACUGUUUCAACAAGGCAAGGGCAUAAAGAGCAAAAUCACUGCAGAUAAAACAUUACUUCAAGAGGUCAUCGCUCUAUACAGAGUGUGAAGAACUCAUACCAGCAGUUCAUCCAGCUGUACGUGAAGGUUUUUACACAUCUGUAUGAAUGAGGGAACAGAAGACUGGUCUAACAGAAUAUACACAGGAACUCUGCGGCGUGUGCAAGCUU